rnacentral:rRNA from 1 species
CACCUCCAGCAUGCUCAGUAUUGGAGGCACUGCCUGCCCAGUGACGCUAGUUCAACGGCCGCGGUAUCCUGACCGUGCAAAGGUAGCAUAAUCAUUUGUUCUCUAAAUAAGGACUUGUAUGAAUGGCCACACGAGGGUUUAACUGUCUCUUACUUCCAAUCAGUGAAAUUGACCUUCCCGUGAAGAGGCGGGAAUAGACCAAUAAGACGAGAAGACCCUAUGGAGCUUCAAUUAACUAACCCACAAUAACCUAUUACGACACCAACAGGAUUAACAUGACUUUAUUGACAUGGGUUAGCAAUUUAGGUUGGGGCGACCUCGGAGAACAAAACAACCUCCGAGUGAUUCAAUCACAGACAAACCCGUCGAAGUAUUAUAUCACUUAUUGAUCCAACAGCUUGAUCAACGGAACAAGUUACCCUAGGGAUAACAGCGCAAUCCUAUUUAAGAGUCCAUAUCAACAAUAGGGUUUACGACCUCGAUGUUGGAUCAGGACAUCCUAAUGGUGCAGCAGCUAUUAAGGGUUCGUUUGUUCAACGAUUAAAGUCCU